UAUAUAUAUAUAUAUAUAAACAUGGAACAGUGGAUGAAGAUGCAGAUGAUAUUUGGGAAAUUUGCAUAAAUGUGCAGUUUGUUGGACACGUGUCAGGGACUACAGCUUCAGUUUGGGCGGAUAAAUGGAGACUUUGGAAUACUCAUCACAUAUCACAAUGUACUGCUGAGUGCAUGGACUCUCUGAAAGGAUUUCUGCCAUUUCUUUAUUUCCCUGUAAAAUGAACCUGCAGUUAGAUUCGGGAUACUCGGAUGUGUUGAGAUAUUUCUCGAUCAGAAAAUCGAGACACGCGAUCAAGUGGCGGUUCGUUUUCUCCUUCUGCAUCCAGCACUUCCUUUCCAGCAAUCCCUCCGCCGUUAUAUAUCGCAGCUUAAACUGGCACUUGGUUUCGAUCGUCUUGAUCUCGUCCGGUACGCCUCUGAUGGUGAAGGUGAUGGAGAACCUGUUGCACGUGAUCUUUAACGCCUGAUGUUUGGACCCCACCACGUCUUUGGCUUCUGUAAAACAGGAUCUCAUCUGGUUCUGGCAGGAGUGCACGCUGAAAUAGAUGCUCUUGACGUCCGCGUCCACGACCGCGUCGCCGUCGCAGUAGACGCAGCAAUCGAUGCGAGUUUUACCGUCCUCGGCCGACACGGUGUAAAUCACGCCGCCGACUUUGCCGAUUUUCAGACACUGACAUUCACUUUUGACCUGCAGGGUCAUGGCUUCGUCGAGAGGGUUGUGUCUAAACAUGCGCUCGGAAAUAUCCAGGUUGGAGAGGAGGACGUUGUCCUUGCAUGCCUUCUCCUUCAGCUUCUGUUUCACUGACAGUAUGCCUUGCGUGUCAGGAUGCACAUCAAAGGUUCUAGAAAAGCAGAAACAUCAUGGCAUCGUUUGGGAACGGUGUAAAUGAGAGAGGUUUUACACCGUCCCGAUACAGGCCGGAAAACUUUAAAACAACAGGUAUGACGCACAACGAAAACAUGCCAUGAGGAAAUAACCCUUACUCUGGUGCUCCAGACAUCGUGUAGAGGAGCGACAGAGCUCUUCGAGUUCCUUCACACAAAGCUGUAGAAAAUAAAAAGCACAGAAACACUGAUCAGUGCAGCACUCAGGGUCCAUCGACUAAACCCUGUCGUGGUUCCGUGAAUAGACGUGUUCGUGUCCCUCAGCGUAAGGGCCGGAUAUCCUCUCUUUCGGUUUCAUUUCCUGCACAGCAGAACCGCCCGGACGUUCUUAAAGGUACACGAUCACAAUAAUACCCAGACUUUCUGUUCUGCUCUCGUCUGCUCGGUCCUCUCCGUCUUUCCUCCGUUCUGCUCGUCUCUCUGUUCUGUACUUUAUGGUUCUCUGUUCUGGUCUGUCCUGAACAUUCCCUGCGUCUCUGCUCUGCUCUGCUCUGCUCUGCUCUGCUCUGUACUGUUCUGUACUGUACUGUUCUGCGUUCUUCUGCGCUUCUCUUUUAUUCUCUGUUCCUGUUCUGCCUUUCUUCUCUUCUCUGUACUGUUUUCUUUUUCUGCUGGAAGAAAAGACACUUUGUGUUAAGUGAUUGAUUUAUUUUGCUCGUACAAAAGAAAACAUCAUCGAGUCUCAGGGUAAAAACCGUUUCGUCAGCACUGAACAUGGAAAUGUCUUUACAAGUCUUCUGAUGGGUUUGUUGUUGUUGUUGUUGUUGUUGUUUUUUUGUUUUUUACAGAAUGUCUACUGCUUCUCAUAAACAAGAGUUUAUAAAGUUACAGGUGAUUGUACAAAUAGAAUUGUUAUGCAAUGCAUGUAGAAAGAUGAAAGUAAUUUUAUAUGAAGUACUGCAUCUGCGUCAUAUAAUAACAUCUAGUAGCAUAAGGUCGGUAUCCUGGCUCUUCUCUAGCCCCGCCCAUCUUUCACGCCCUCUGCUCGGCGGGACAUGUCUCCGUUCUCCAAGGCUCCGUUCCCAGUGCGCUUCAGUGGUGUUCUGGUGAGACUCGGUGGCGUAGCGCACUCAUCUCCUCGAUCAGUUGCGUGUCGGAGGAGGAAGUUUCCCAAAAGCGUCGUAAAGGUAAGAUCGUCUCAACUAGGAGAGAGAGAGUGUUCGGCGUGACGCUCGCUCUACCGUUUGACCGUGACCUUUGCACUGCGACGCUUUUGUGAAACGCUGGAUCUGGAGUCUGUUUGGGGUCGCAGAAUCUACCUGUGUCCGUGUUUGUGUUUCCUCGCCACAACUGCCGGUUAUUGAAUAUCUAUCUAUCUAUCCAUCUAUCCAUCCGUCCACCCGAGUAUCCUCCUGGCCCCUCGACCUUCACUCGUACUCCCACAGCUCCAUGUCCUGAACCCUGUGGCUGUGAGCUCGAUUCUGUCCGUCGGUGAAGACGAAGUGCUGCGUGCUGUGGUAUCCGUCGCGUCCGCAGACGAGCUCCACCAGCUCUCCGUCACUCUGGAUGAGGACGCGGAUGUUUUCCUCCUGAAACUGACUGUAGUUGAUCAGCAGGUGCUGGAAACAAGCCAGCAGGCCUUCCUUCAUCUCGCCGCUUCUCUCCAGACGUGUUUUGGUCUCCAGGAGCUUCUCCAGGUUCAGCGUUUUGCCGAAGCACACUCGUCGGCGAGGGCAGACGAAAAGGCUGCGCUGAGGCUGCUGGGUAGUGUAAGUAAUCUGAAGCUCACCGCACACGAUCCUCAGCUCCAGCUGGCUCUGAGACGACGGAUCCGACUCGAUUUCCGCGCGUAAAACGCGCCUCGCUCGAUCCACGCAGCUCUCCAGCUCGUCUCUGCAGCGAUGCCCGGCGAAGUGAGACUCGCUCAGGCACGAGGGGACGAGACGAGACCCGACCGGGACUUUCUGAUGAAGCUCUGGACCGUUCUGACCCACACGGACCACGUACAGCAGGACGGGGUUUCCUGCAGUGAACCGAACCAGCUGCCUCUCUCCUUCAAAGGUGAGAGAGACGUCACGGCGUUUCGAGGCAGGGAAUUUCUCCAGCGUCUGGAUCGCAAAAUCCAAGCAGGUCUUCAUGUUGGAAUCCAGAAAGCCUUCUUGGCGCAGUUUCACCUUCGCUGAGAGGAACGUGUCCAAAUCCAAACACGGCACGGUGAAGUUUUUUCUAAAAAAAAAGAGAGAGAGAGAACAGCGACAUAACUGUGUCGUAUAAACCGGUGAGAAUCCGCUCGUCUCCUGCUGCUGAUGCCUUGGAGCUGUGAUGAAGGUUAAUGAUAUUUAACGUAAACACAUUCAUCCACCACGUGGUCCUCGCUUUCUGUCUCCUAAACACACCUUUUAUUUUUCAGAAACAAUAACAAGGACGCUUUCUUUUCACCCAGCCGCCAUGACCUACGAGCUGAACACACCCCGGGAGCGCAAAAUCACGUAAAAGUGAAGUCCUUUUAGUGAAAAAUGUCAGAAUCGCAUCCAUCACGACGGCUGAGACGGCUAACCGUCGUCCAGACGCUGUUUUCAAAUACUUAUUUUUUUUUUAAACGAGUUAAAAGCAGUAUACUGUACUUCAUUUUCAAACACUAGCCAGACUUUCCUGUAACACAACAGUUCUCAAAAGUCUUGCAUCUUCGGAAAUUUCCAUGUGAAUACAUAAAAAGUCACAUUCAAAUGUCAGGCGAACAUGUGUACGUAUCUCUUUCAUCGAACCGUUAGCAUCAGCAUGCUCACGCUUUCCAGCUUUAUUAAACGAGUGACGUCUGGAUCAAACCCUUUUGAAUUCGGUUCCUUCAGACUGUAAUCAACACGCAGUUAAACAGCUCUCGCAUCAUUUUCUGACAGCUUCAGGCUCUGUUAGGAUCAGCGUUAGUUCUACUGAGAGGAAGGAAAUACAAGGAAAUGGGCUCUUACAUCUCACUCAUGAUGGAGAUCGACGACGUUUUGCCGAGCAGCGAUGCACUCCUGAGCCCCAGAUCUUUACUCCCCGAUGAAGACACGGACGUCGCCAUGACACGGAGGUGACGCUCCUGAUCGGAGGAUAUGAGGAGAAGACACGGCGUGAGCACAUCGCUGUCUGGUGCAGACUCGACAGCUCUGUUUAAAUCAAUAAAUAGGAUAGAAUUCAUCUAAUAACGUAGUGAAGGUCACCCGAACGGCUCACCUGUGUGCCGUGGCGUCUCCUCCUUUCUCUCGUCGGUGUGUGAAUCAGCGGCGUUUUAAAAACACACACACACACACACACACGUGUGAGUUUGUUUCUCAGAAUCCCCGAGUCAUCAUGCAGGUGUGUGUUUAUAAUCAUCACUUUACCGUCAACGGUCCACACACACCAACACACCAACACACCUACUUUUACACAGUUGGGCAGAUUUGAGACGUCGCUGAGAGGAAUACGAGAUAUUUAAACACCUCACAAAAUCAGCAAACUAAGCACAAGGGUUGUUCCCUAAAGCAGGGGUUCCCAAACUUUCCCAGGGCGAGGCCCCCCAAAUGGCAUUACCAUUUGACCGAGGCCGCCCUUUUGCAAGGUGUCUUUAAAAACACAUUAAAAAUACAGACUUCUGAAUAUAUCCCCCUUUUUUUUAUUAAAGAUUACAUCUUACAUCUUUACAUUACAUUACUUUAGGAAUUGUGUGUGUGUGUGUGUGUGUGUGUGUGUGCGUGCGUGUGGUUGUCUCAGAGUGAGAAAGAGAAAACAUACUUUUAUUUAUUUUUCACACCAAAUGAUUGCGGCCCCCCCGAGCGCCCCCUGGCGGCCCCGACUUUGAAAACCACUGCCCUAAAGCAUAGAACUCUGUGUAUAUUGCAUCAGGCAAUAUAUUAUAUAUGAUUAUUAUUUGUAUGUAUGUGCAACGCUAGUACAUGAGUGAUAUGAAAUACAGUUUGUAAUGUUUUUACACCAUUGUCGCAGAAUUUUAUUUUCCCUUUGGGAAGUCGCACAAGAAGUCAUGUUCUAGAUCUGUAACACGGACGGCGCGGAAGCCCGCCCCUUCGCCUGACGCGGUUGUCGGUAGCCCCGCCCCUUGUCGCGUGUAGCUCUUCCGGGAGGCGGGGCCAAACGCUGUGGCCAGAAAACGAAUCUCACCAGGAGAAGACUGGUCAGGGUUGAGUUUUCUGCUCAUCUCACGCCUUCAGCUCGUUCUGACAAGAAGGAACAAACAGGACUCGUCCUCAUGGCCUUUGUAAAGGAGUUCUUUUUCCCCUCCCUGGAAACUAAAUAUCUCCUAGAGACGAAAGUGGAACUGAGCCAGCUGGGUGUUCUUGAACCUGAACUCAAACGCAAUCUGCUGUUUGCUAUUUCAGCGAUGGACACGUUGCCGCUCAUGCUGAAGAAAAGCGCAGGACUUCUGGUCGAAGGCAGUCAGAUUCUGAUCAGCAUCACAGCGGGUAACCCCAGUCUGCAUUGCGUCGUGUUUCAGGACCACGAAGGCAUCAGACUUCACCAGACAAUAAAACCGAACAGAGAGUUGCGUCUCGACGACUUCCAUAAGGCUUUUUUCCACGGCCACGACUGUCCUCAUGAUACACCAUGUUGGGAACAGGCUAUGAAUAUCAGAUCCGUCAGCAGUAGACAAUUAGAACUAAAUAUUGUCUGCAAAGAGCUGAGAGUAACCUUCUCCGACCCUGCUCCCGUAGAGGCCAUUGUGGUGCCGACAUCUAAGAAUAUUGCACAAAUCUGAUUUAGAAAAAUAUAUAUAUAUAGAUAUAUAUUAAUAUAUAUUAAUUUCCUCUUUCCUGUUCAAACCUGUGACGCCAUCUGCUGGAAUCUGCCUCUGAAAGAUGAGUGCGCACUUUGAGUGUUGUAGGACGUUUGUUUGUUUAUAUUAUCCGAAGGUCCCUGUUUCUCCCUGCACAGCGGUCUUCCCUUAUUUCUACUGCUUGUCUUCUACAGAAACAUUACACACGACCAUUAAGCCUAAUGUUUUCAAUGUUUUAUUGCCAGUUUUCUAACCGUUUAUAAUCAAAGCCCACUUGUAGUGGAAAUAUGUCUGUUCAGUAGAAUGAGUAUAAUACUAAUACUGUUACUCUGCUAAAAUAAAGAUUCUCAUUAUGUAAUCAGUCUUGAGCUCAGGAUCAGUCCAGGGGUCCUGGAACACAGACUUUCCACUGCACCUUUUUCAUCUGUACACUGAAUUAGGAAUUGAGGAACAGUUCACCUCAGCAAUAACAAGUUCAACAUGGAAAGGAAGUCAACGAGCCCGAUUUGUCCGCUACAGCCAUUGACAUCGGACGGAAGUGGCUGCUUGUGUUCUAAUCCCGCAGGUGACCGGACAUGAUUGUAAAUAUAGUACGCGUGUGUGGAGACGUCUGAGCGAUGGGCUCACACGACACAGCUGGGAGAGUGCUGAUUACUGAGAGUGUGCACCUUGCUCAGUGGUGAGUUCAUCUGUGCUUUGUUUUCAAGAGCAAAUACACGGCGUCAGUGUGAGUGAGCCAGGUUAACAGUGAGUGAUCUGCCUUGGCCAAUGAAAGCUUGCGGUUAUUGCUUCACCUGAGCUGCAAUCAGGUGACAGUACAGCUGUGCAGAGCUGAUGCUCAUACUUUAACAUUUCUGACAGGCAUUCUGAGUGAUUUUUCAACACUUCAGAUGCCUGGACUCAAACGCUGUUCCGCUUCCUGAACCAGGUACAGACUUUACCCGCUGACCCAGCAGUCCACACAGAACACCUGCCUUCCUCACAAGGUUGGAACACCGGUUGGAUUUGUCCACCCUUCCUGGAGACCUGGAUAGUAACAGGCUCAUGGCUCUGUUCUGAAGAUUCACUGAAGCUCUGGUGCCACCUGCUGGAGGAAGUCUGGUUAUUAGGCUAUGCAAUUGAUAAAAUCUUGUAAGAACUGUUCAAUGUAUUUCUCUCAAUUUGGACUUUUCAGAAGACGUUGUUAGACAAGUGGAAACCGGCCAUCUUAAUUAGCGUGCACGGAGGGGUGCAGACGAAACCAAGCAAAAUAAAGUGCUGACGGGUGAUUGAUUAAUAUUCAUUGUCGCCUGUUGAUGUAAUUCUGGCACCUUGCCGUUUCAACCGUUUUUUGUUUGUUUCAUUCACGGGAUCUCUUUAUGAAAUGACUAACCUUAUCGCGUUUUGGGCGAGGCGGGAGAUUCCGAGUUUCUGUUGGAGGUGGUGAAGAUCUCUCAGACACAGCACGUUAUUACCUGUAUCUUUAAUUAAAAAAUAAAUAAAUAAAUAAAUGAAUAAAUAAAAAGAAACCAAUAAUUUAGUGCAAAAUCAGAGGCUUGUACACGAGUUAAUUUCUUUUAGGUAGUAUAAUGAUCAGCUUUGAUCUGUUUAUACACGAUUUACUUGGAUUUUGGGAUGCAGAACCCACCAAGUCCUUUAGAAAAUAUUCCAGUAGAAGCGGGCUGGAUUGCUCAGGAGUGCGAGUUCAGCGCUCUGCCUUACAACAGUUUAUUCAACUUGGAUGUUUGUUUCUUUAACGUGAAUCACUUCAAUAAAACUACUUUGAAUUUCAA
ensembl:lncRNA